rnacentral:rRNA from 1 species
AUUGAACGCUGGCGGCAGGCUUAACACAUGCAAGUCGAACGGUAACAGGCGAAAGCUUGCUUUCUUGCUGACGAGUGGCGGGCGGGUGAGACAUGCUUGGGAUUCUGGCUUCUGGAGGGGGAUAACGACGGGCAACUGUCGCUACUACCGCGUAGUAUCUGCAGCUGAAAGUGCGUGACCGCAAGGCCGCAUGCCAUAAGAUGCGCCCAAGUGGGCUUCGGUAGUUGGUGGGGUAAAGGUCUACCAAGCCUGCGAUCUCUAGCUGGUCUGAGAGGAUGGCCAGCCACACUGGAACGGAGACACGGUCCAGACGCCUACGGGAGGCAGCAGUGGGGAAUAGGGCGCAAUGGGGGGAACCCUGACGCAGCGAUGCCGCGUGAAUGAAGAAGGCCUUCGGGUUGUAAAGUUCUUUCGGUAUUGAGGAAGGGGUGUAUGCUAAUAGCAUACAUUAGUGACGUUAAAUACUGAAGAAGCACCGGCUAACUCCGUG